rnacentral:piRNA from 1 species
UAAACAGCCUGGAUUCAGUGAGCUUACAGU